AAACACGAGACAGCAACAGCAGCAGCAGCAGCAAUUUCUUUUCACUAUUUUAAUUUUCCCUUCGCGUUUCCAGAAAAGUAAAAGCUCCUCCCUCCAGUCUUGGAUCCUAACAAUGGAUCUUCUUCAAAACUACCAAAACGACGGAGAAUUAGACCAAAACCCUAAUUCCUCUCCGGAUUCAUCCCCUCCACGUCUCCUCCCUUCCAAAUCCGCCGCUCCCAAAGUCGACGACACCAUGCUAGCCCUAACAGUGGCCAAUCAAAUGCUCUCUAAACCUAUCGACCCCGUCCAGCACGUCGUCGCUUUCAACCCUACCUACGACCAGAUGUGGGCUCCGGUUUUAGGCCCCGCCCAUCCCUACGCCAAGGACGGCAUUGCCCAGGGCAUGCGCAACCACAAGCUCGGCUUCGUCGAGGACGCCGCCAUUGAUUCCUUCGUCUUCGACGAGCAGUACAACACUUUCCACAAGUAUGGCUACGCGGCUGACCCCUCUGCUUCUGCAGGUAAUAAUUAUAUUGGUGAUUUGGAUGUUUUAGAAAAAAAUAAUGGGAUUUCUGUUUAUAAUAUUCCGCAACAUGAACAAAAGAAGCGAAAGAUUGAGAAGAAAACGGAAGCUGCUGAGGAUGACGAUGAUGGAAUGGACAAGGAAGAGGUUGAGAAUCCGGCUACGGAUGCGUGGUUGAUGAAGAAUAGGAAGAGCCCAUGGGCUGGUAAGAAGGAGGGAUUACAAACUGAGUUGACUGAAGAGCAGAAAAAAUAUGCGGAAGAGCACGCGAGGAAGAAGGAGGAGAAAGCUGGUGGUGAAAAAGGUGAGCUCGUUGCUGAUAAGACUACUUUUCAUGGUAAAGAAGAGAGGGAUUAUCAAGGGAGGUCGUGGAUUGCGCCACCUAAAGAUGCUAAAGCUAGUAAUGACCAUUGUUAUAUACCCAAGAGAUUGGUGCAUACAUGGAGUGGCCAUACUAAAGGAGUUUCUGCUAUAAGGUUUUUCCCUAAACAUGGCCAUUUGAUACUUUCUGCGGGUAUGGAUACGAAGGUGAAGAUAUGGGACGUGUUUAAUUCGGGAAAGUGUAUGAGAACUUAUAUGGGUCAUUCUAAGGCUGUCAGGGAUAUUUCAUUUUGUAACGAUGGCUCCAAGUUCUUAACUGCUGGUUAUGAUAAGAAUAUUAAGUACUGGGACACAGAAACGGGCCAGGUUAUCUCUUCGUUUUCGACUGGGAAGAUUCCAUAUGUUGUUAAGCUCAAUCCUGAUGAUGAUAAGCAGAAUAUAUUGUUGGCGGGUAUGAGUGAUAAGAAGAUUGUGCAGUGGGAUAUGAACACGGGGCAGAUUACUCAGGAGUAUGACCAGCAUUUGGGGGCAGUGAAUACCAUCACAUUUGUGGAUAAUAACAGGAGAUUUGUUACUUCAAGUGAUGAUAAAUCACUCCGUGUAUGGGAAUUUGGGAUCCCUGUUGUUAUUAAGUAUAUUAGUGAGCCUCACAUGCAUUCUAUGCCAUCGAUCUCUCUUCAUCCCAAUAUGAAUUGGCUUGCUGCGCAGAGUUUGGAUAACCAGAUUCUUAUUUAUAGUACUAGGGAAAGAUUCCAGUUGAAUAAGAAGAAGAGGUUCGCUGGUCACAUUGUGGCUGGUUAUGCUUGUCAAGUCAAUUUCUCACCAGAUGGAAGAUUUGUUAUGUCAGGAGAUGGUGAGGGUAAAUGCUGGUUUUGGGACUGGAAGAGUUGUAAAGUUUUCAGGACCCUCAAAUGUCACGAGGGAGUCUGCAUUGGGGCUGAGUGGCAUCCGCUGGAGCAAAGUAAAGUGGCCACUUGUGGCUGGGAUGGAUUGAUUAAAUACUGGGACUAGUUGCUUUCAGAUCUGACUUGGCACAUAUAUCAGUUGAGCAACCCACUUCAUACACCCUGCCAGAGAGACACUACAGAUAUCCUGCUGAAUAGAUGAGUGGAAGAACCAAACUAGUUUCUUCUAUCCAGAAAUUUAUGUGCAGCAAUUGGUGAGAAUUGAUUGAGGACCAUUGAGAAACUCAUCCCAACGUUUGCAAGGAUCCUCAUGAAGAUACCACCACCUGCAGAGUCUUUCAACUUGUGGCAUUCAGUUUCUGUUGAAGGAUCUUGUUCAGAAGUCCUGGAUUGGCCUUACCUUUUGAUAAUUUCAUCACCUGCAAAUGAAUCAGCGUUCAGAAUUAUCCCAAUCUACUAAAGCAUAAUCAGGGGAAAAUAAAUUACAUGAAGGUUCGUCUUAUAACUUGUAAUGGUUUGUAUACCUGGCCAGCAAAAAAACCUUGUAUCUUAGUUUUUCCGGCUUGGUAUUGUUCCAACUGCUUUGGGUUCUCUGAAAGCACUUUAUCUACCAUCUUCUCAAUAUGAGCAGGAUCUACUAUCUGUUAUAUUGAAACAUGUGAGAAACCCACCUAUUGGAACUAAAAUAGUGUUCCUCUCCUGAUUUCCAUACAACAUUUAUGCCAUUUUCAAUCACUGAAAUUACACUCAUCUCACUGUUAGAUGUGUUAAGAAACUGAACCACAGAUAAAGCUUGGCGGACACCUCCUCCAGCCUUUUCUACAACCAUAGAGCACAUUGCAUUUUCAAGCGAAGCUUCUAAGCUUUGCCAACACCAUGACCAACUCAUUAGACAAUUGAAGCACAAAGGUAAUCGACAAUUGAAGCACUAAGGUAAUCGAUCACACAGCUGAAUGAUAUAUUAUUUGUUGGCACCUUUUAAAGAGAGUAAGGGUGGAAACUUGAUUAGAAGAUUCAACAAUCUCAGCUUUUCUUCACGUCUCUGGUUCUCAACACCAUGCUAGACCAAGAAGGCUUGUAAGGAAAUGACACAAUCAUCCAGCUGCGCUUCCAGUUAAUUUGUUUAUUUCUGCCGUUUGGCACGGUAAAGGCAAUCACCCUUAUUUUUUAGCUUAUUUAUGCAUAAACUCAGGGCAUGUACUUCUAAACUAAAGUUGUUGAACACUUUGUUAUUGCUGUGAACGAUAGUUAAAUAUGCUGCAGGGGCAAAGUGAGAGACUUGCCUGAACCAAAUUUUUUUCUUC